UACGUAGGGUGCGAGCGUUGUCCGGAAUUAUUGGGCGUAAAGAGCUCGUAGGCGGUUUGUCGCGUCUGCUGUGAAAACCCGAGGCUCAACCUCGGGCCUGCAGUGGGUACGGGCAAACUAGAGUGUUGCAGGGGAGACUGGAAUUCCUGGUGUAGCGGUGAAAUGCGCAGAUAUCAGGAGGAACACCGGUGGCGAAGGCGGGUCUCUGGGCAACAACUGACGCUGAGGAGCGAAAGCGUGGGGAGCGAACAGG
rnacentral:rRNA from 1 species